GUGAGGAAUAUUGCGCAAUGGAGGCAACUCUGACGCAGCCAUGCCGCGUGCAGGAAGAAGGCGCUACGCGUUGUAAACUGCUUUUAACCGGGAAGAAACCCCAGAACGUGUCCUGGGUUGACGGUACCGGAGGAAUAAGCACCGGCUAACUUCGUGCCAGCAGCCGCGGUAAUACGAAGGGUGCAAGCGUUAUCCGGAUGCAUUGGGUUUAAAGGGUGCGUAGGCGGAGCGUUAAGUCAGUGGUGAAAUCCUGCAGCUUAACUGUAGACUUGCCAUUGAUACUGUCGCUCUUGAGUGCGCAUGAAGUGGGCGGAAUGUGCCGUGUAGCGGUGAGAUGCUUAGAUAUGGCACAGAACACCAAGUGCGAAGGCAGCUCACUAAGGCGAUACUGACGCUGAGGCACGAAAGCGUGGGGAUCGAACAGGAUUAGAAACCCGUGUAGUCC
rnacentral:rRNA from 1 species